GCCUGGCUGGUUCAAUUGCUAGAGCAUGAGACUUUCAAUCUCAGGAUUGUGAGUUCAAGUCCACUUUGGGUG
rnacentral:tRNA from 1 species